GAUGAACGCUGGCGGCGUGUCUAAUACAUGCAAGUCGAGCGAACGGACGAGAAUCUUGCUUCUCUGAUGUUAGCGGCGGACGGGCGAGUAACACGUGGAUAACUUACCUAUAAGACUGGGAUAACUUCGGGAAACCGGAGCUAAUACCGGAUAAUAUUUUGAACUGCAUGGUUCAAAAGUGAAAGACGGUCUUGCUGUCACUUAUAGAUGUAUUCGCGCUGCAUUCGCAAGUUGGUAAGGUAACGGCUUACCAAGGCAACGUUGCAUAGCCGACCUGAGAGGCUGUACGGCCACCCUGCAACUAAGAAACGGUCCAGAAUCCUACGGGAGGCGGCAGUAGAGCAUCUUCCGCAAUAGUGGAACGACAAACGGAGCUACGCCGCGAGCGUUAUGACGGUCUUCGAUUGCGAAAACUCUGUUAUUAGGGAGGAUCAACUGUAUAUGUAACAGUGCACCUCUUAACGGUCCCUAAUCAGAAAGCCACGGCUAACUUCGUG
rnacentral:rRNA from 1 species